rnacentral:tRNA from 1 species
AAGGCUUAAGAGCUAUAUAUGCUCACAAUCCGACUUGCAAUCAGAAAAUUUUUAAGCCU